UGGCACUGCACUCAGAGUUCCAUUCAGACCCAUCCCACCACUAUGCCUUCUUUCUUGAUGAUGCUCCUGGCACUGGCUGCCUCCUCUUCAAGUGUGUUAGGUCUUGCAUUCUAGUUCAUCACUUAAUUUUGGAUUUCUAAGAUAAUAUUUGGCUGAUGGUUUCUCCUUUUUUCCUUCCCUACCAGGUGUGGUCUCACAGGUGGUUCUGACCCAGACAUCAGAUCCAGUCUUGAAAAAACCUGGGGAAUCCCAAAAACUGAGCUGUGCCACUGCUGGAUUUGAUAUUAACAGCAACUGGAUGGGCUGGAUCAGACAGAAACCUGGCAAAGGACUGGAAUGGCUUGUUCACUAUUAUGAUACCCGUUCUGGGUACAGUUAUUAUUCCUCUGAAAUCCAAGGGCGAUUUACAGCCUCGAAGAGUGGAUCAAACUUCUAUCUGCAAAUGAACAACCUUAAACCUGAGGAUACAGCUGUGUAUUACUGUGCAAGAGA